AAUAAUUCAUACAGGGCAAUUUGGGUUUGGAGUUCCUACUGGGCACUUGCCUCAAGUGUCCUCGGUCCCACUGUGAAGAGGGUGAGAUCUCUGUAUGAGGACGUUUCAAUGAAAAUGAACCCUAGCUAAAAACUCCACAAAGCAAAUAUUGAAAAAUCAAUGAUCAUAA